AUUGAACGCUGGCGGAAUGCUUUACACAUGCAAGUCGAACGGCAGCACGGACUUCGGUCUGGUGGCGAGUGGCGAACGGGUGAGUAAUGUAUCGGAACGUGCCCAGUCGUGGGGGAUAACGUAGUGAAAAUUACGCUAAUACCGCAUACGAUCUAUGGAUGAAAGCGGGGGUCGCAAGACCUCGCGGGAUUGGAGCGGGCGAGAUCAGAUUAGGUAGUUGGUGGGGUAAAGGCCCACCAAGCCAACGAUCUGUAGCUGGUCUGAGAGGACGACCAGCCACACUGGAACUGAGACACGGUCCAGACUCCUACGGGAGGCAGCAGUGGGGAAUUUUGGACAAUGGGCGAAAGCCUGAUCCAGCCAUUCCGCGUGCAGGAUGAAGGCCCUCGGGUUGUAAACUGCUUUUGUACAGAACGAAAAGGUUUCUACUAAUACUAGGAGCUCAUGACGGUACUGUAAGAAUAAGCACCGGCUAACUACGUGCCAGCAGCCGCCGUAA
rnacentral:rRNA from 1 species